rnacentral:rRNA from 1 species
AUUGAACGCUGGCGGCAGGCCUAACACAUGCAAGUCGAACGAGCGUGGGACGGGUGAGUAAUAUCCUGGAAACUGCCUGAUGGAGGGGGGUAACUCCUGGAAACGCUAGCUAUUACCCCAUACCAUCAAAUAUGCCCCGCUGGGAUUUGCUAGUAGGUGGGGUAACGGCGCACCCAGGCGACGAUCCCUCGCUGGUCUGAGAGGAUGACCAGCCACACUGUGACGGAGACACGGUCCAGACUCCUACGGGAGGCAGCAGUGGGGAAUAUUGCACAAGGGGCGCAAGCCUGAUGCAGCCAUGCCGCGUGUGUGAAGAAGGCCUUCGGGUUGUAAAGUACUUUCAGCGGGGAGGCGUUACCCGCAGAAGAAGCACCGGCUAACUCCGUGCCAGCAGCCGCGGUAAUUC